rnacentral:rRNA from 1 species
GAUGAACGCUAGCUACAGGCUUAACACAUGCAAGUCGAGGGGUAACAAGAGAAAAGCUUGCUUUUCUUGUUGACGACCGGCGCACGGGUGAGUAACGCGUAUCCAACCUGCCCAUAACUAGGGAAUAACCUUGCGAAAGUAAGACUAAUACCCUAUAAUUUCCUUUGACGGCAUCCGAUUUGGAAUAAAGAUUUAUCGGUUAUGGAUGGGGAUGCGUCUGAUUAGCUUGUUGGCGGGGUAAAGGCCCACCAAGGCAACGAUCAGUAGGGGUUUUGAGAGUAAGGUCCCCCACAUUGGAACUGAGACACUGUCCAAACUCCUACGGGAGGCAGCAGUGAGGAAUAUUGGUCAAUGGGCGGAAGCCUGAACCAGCCAAGUAGCGUGCAGGAUGACUGCCCGAUGGGUUGUAAACUGCUUUUAUACAGGAAUAAAGUUAGCCACGUGUGGUUAUUUGUAGGUACUGUAUGAAUAAGGACCGGCUAAUUCCGUGCCAGCCGCCGCCGUAA